AUUGAACGCUGGCGGCAUGCCUUACACAUGCAAGUCGAACGGCAGCACGGGUGCUUGCACCUGGUGGCGAGUGGCGAACGGGUGAGUAAUAUAUCGGAACGUACCUUAUUGUGGGGGAUAACGCAGCGAAAGCUGUGCUAAUACCGCAUAAUCCCUAAGGGGGAAAGCGGGGGACCGUAAGGCCUCGCGCAAUUAGAGCGGCCGAUACCUGAUUAGCUAGUUGGUGAGGUAAAGGCUCACCAAGGCAACGAUCAGUAGCUGGUCUGAGAGGACGAUCAGCCACACUGGGACUGAGGCACGGCCCAGACUCCUACGGGAGGCAGCAGUGGGGAAUUUUGGACAAUGGGGGCAACCCUGAUCCAGCAAUGCCGCGUGAGUGAAGAAGGCCUUCGGGUUGUAAAGCUCUUUUGUCAGGGAAGAAACAGCAGCUCUAACACAGUUUGCGAAUGACGGUACCUGAAGAAGAAGCACCGGCUAACUACGUGCCAGCCGCCGCAGUAA
rnacentral:rRNA from 1 species